rnacentral:lncRNA from 1 species
GUGACAUGGGCUAAAUCAGAUUGCUAAGCAACCUAAUUCAAGUCUCAAUCUUCCAAAUUGAUCAGGUAAGUGGAGAUCGAUGGGGGUCCCCCUGUUGCCUUCCUAAGACACCAAUGAAUUGGUCAGGUCAGCUAACGAAAUCAAUUAAAUAAUCAUAUUUCAUUAACUUGCCUUAGACACCAAUAGGUUGAUUGAACAGAAU